rnacentral:lncRNA from 1 species
UGAGGUGCGUCUUUAGUUGUCAAAUUUUAGUUUAUAACAAUUUUUGACUCGUACUUUCAAAAUUAUUACAAUCAAAUUUUGCAACUCAAUUUAGUUAACGAAAUGCUGAUCUAUCCCUGAUAUAAGAGCAAUGCGACAGUGUUACAAUUGAUGGUGCAAUAAUGAUUUAGAUGCCACAUCACUUUCACAUCAUCAAUAUAGUACAUUUAGUCAAUUAAGUUGUGUUUGUAGGACUUGAUUGCAAUAAUUUAAAAGAUUUGGGCUAGAAAUUAUUACAAAUUAAAAGUUUGAGGACCAAAACAUCACGCGAGCUAUAGUGUGGAAGACCAAAAGAGUAACUUACCCGAAAAAGUAUUAACAAAGUUUUUGCAUAUGCAUGCAUGCAUGCAAAGCAGAUAUGGUGAUCGAGUGAAAGUUCUAAUCUUUUUUUUUUAGCGAUAGGCAGCACGCUAUCUUCUUCGUUUAUUUCAUUUAGAAAUAAACUUAACUGAAAAUGUGAAUCAACAAGAAUUCGAACUUGGGUAUCGGGUACCAACUACCAAGCCCUUUGCCACUUGCUCUAGGGAUGGUCGGUUGUAAGUUCUAAUCUUGAAGUUAUGAUGUG